rnacentral:rRNA from 1 species
GAUGAACGCUGGCGGCGUGCCUAAUACAUGCAAGUCGAGCGAACAGACGAGGAGCUUGCUCCUUUGACGUUAGCGGCGGACGGGUGAGUAACACGUAGGUAACCUACCUAUAAGACUGGGAUAACUUCGGGAAACCGGAGCUAAUACCGGAUAAUAUUUCGAACCGCAUGGUUCGAUAGUGAAAGAUGGCUUUGCUAUCACUUAUAGAUGGACCUGCGCCGUAUUAGCUAGUUGGUAAGGUAACGGCUUACCAAGGCAACGAUACGUAGCCGACCUGAGAGGUGGAUCGGCAAAACUGGACCUGAGCACCGGUCCAGACUCCUACGGGAGGCAGCAGUAGGGAAUCUUCCGCAAUGGGCGAAAGCCUGACGGAGAAACGCCGCGUGAGUGAUGAAGGUCUUCGGAUCGUAAAACUCUGUUAUUAGGGAAGAACAAACGUGUAAGUAACUGUGCACGUCUUGACGGUACCUAUCAGAAAGCCACGGCUAACUACGUG